GAAAUCUGGUUUCUCUUCAGAUCAUAUAAAUCUUUCUCCUUUUUCUAAAGAUUUCCAUGGAGAGGAACAUUUAUGAGUAAUAAAAUGUUAA